AUGUAGGUUCGGCAGCCUGAUGCUGUCCCUCAGCUUACUGAUGCUCUGUUGAUUUCUUUUUUCCAGACUUCUUGGCGUUACAUUGUGAAUUGUUUCUACUGAUUUACCUACGAGUUUUCUAGUCUUUUCUUCUGGAGUGUCUAAGAUGCUGUUCAUCUCAGCCAGUAUUUCUUCAUCUAUGAUUACUUUGGACUUAUCCAUCAACAAAAACCUUCUGCUAGUACCUUGUCUGUAAUCACCAGAAAAGCCCUUGAGUUUCCAGCAGUGUUUCUUUUUAAUUUCUGUAAGUAUAUUUAUUACUGCUUGAGAUCCUCAGGGGUUUUGAAUCUAGCCUGGCAUUCUGUAUCUCCUUCCAGCAAAUUAACAUGAACAACUUCUGAGAUCUCUGCCAAAGUAUUCUAUACAAAAGCAUUUACAGCUUUAAAAUUGGGUAAAAACCAGCCAGGAGUGGUGGCUCACGCCUGUAAUCCCAGCACUUUGGGAGGCCGAGGCAGGUGGAUCACUUGAGGACAGGAGUUCGAGAUCAGCCUGAGCAACAUGGUGAAACUUCAUCUCUACUAAAAAUACAAAAGUUAGCCAUGCAUCGGCAACGCACACCUGUAGUCCCAGAUACUCUGGAGGCUGAGGCAGGAGAAUCGCUUGAACCCAGGAGGCAGAGGUUGCAGUAAUCUGAGAUCAUGCCACGGCACUCCAGCCUGGGCCAGAGAGCAAGACUCAGUCUCAA
ensembl:lncRNA